AGAUAAAAAUUUAUGAUUUAAAAAAUUUAUUUUAAGUUUAAUUUACAUAUAAAUUUUAGUGUUAAUUUUAUUAAAUUUAAAUAAUUUGAUAAUAAAUUUCAUAGUAAUUAAAAUUAAAAAUUUAAGAAAUUAAGAUUUAGUAAUAUUUAUAUUUAAAUAACAAAUUUUGUGCCAGCAGUUGCGGUUAUACAAAAAUUUAAAUAAAUUUUAUUAGUAAAAAUAAAUAAUAAUAAAUUAAAUUAAAAAAAAAAUUAUUAAGUGAAAUUUUAAUUUUAAUUAAAUUUAAAUUAAAAUUAUGAAUUUAAAAAUUUUAUAAAAAACUAGGAUUAGAUACCCUAUUAUAAAAAAUUAAAAUAAAUUACUAAAAUAGUAUAUAAUUAUUUAUUGAAACUUAAAUAAUUUGGCGGUAUUUUAGUUCAUUUAGAGGAAUCUGUCUAGUAAUUGAUAAUCCACGAAUAAUCAUAUUUAAUUUAUAAUUUUAUAUAUCGUUGUUAAAAAAAUAUUUUUAAAUAAAAAUAAUAUUUUAAAAUUUUAAUAAUAAAAUUAAUUCAGAUCAAGAUGUAGAUAAUAAUUAAAAUAUAAGAUGGAUUACAAUAUAAAUAUAUAAAUGGAUAUUAAUUUUGAAAUAGUUAAUUAAAAGUGGAUUUAAAUGUAAUUUUAAAUAAUUUUUUAAAAUGAUUAAUAAUUGAAAUAUGUACAUAUUGCCCGUCACUUUCAUUUAAAAAUUGAAAUAAGUCGUAACAAAGUAGGGGUACUGGAAAGUGUUCCUAGAAAGAA
rnacentral:ncRNA from 1 species